rnacentral:rRNA from 1 species
CCUACGGGAGGCUGCAGUGAGGAAUAUUGGUCAAUGGACGAGAGUCUGAACCAGCCAAGUAGCGUGAAGGAUGACUGCCCUAUGGGUUGUAAACUUCUUUUAUAUGGGAAUAAAAUGUUCCACGUGUGGGAUUUUGUAUGUACCAUAUGAAUAAGGAUCGGCUAACUCCGUGCCAGCAGCCGCGGUAAUACGGAGGAUCCGAGCGUUAUCCGGAUUUAUUGGGUUUAAAGGGAGCGUAGGUGGAUUGUUAAGUCAGUUGUGAAAGUUUGCGGCUCAACCGUAAAAUUGCAGUUGAAACUGGCAGUCUUGAGUACAGUAGAGGUGGGCGGAAUUCGUGGUGUAGCGGUGAAAUGCUUAGAAAUCACGAAGAACUCCGAUUGCGAAGACAGUUCACUGGACUGCAACUGACACUGAGGCUCGAAAGUGUGGGUAUCAAACAGGAUUAGAUACCCUUGUAGUC